rnacentral:rRNA from 1 species
CAGACUCUCUAACAGUGAAACCGUGAAUGGCUCACUAACUAAGUUAUGGUUCGUUAGAUCGAAUGCCUUACGCGGAUAACUUUUGGGAAUUCUAGAGCUAAUACGUGCAUACAAGCUCCGACUCGCGAAGGAGCGUAUUUAUUAGACCAAAGCCAACCGGGCGCAAGCCCGUAACGCGAUGACUCCGAGUAACUCUUGCUGAUCGCAGCGGCCUCGAGCCGGCGACGUAUCUUUCAAAUGUCUGCCCUAUCAACUUUCGAUGGUAGUUGACAUGACUACCACGGUCGUAACGGGUAACGGGGAAUCAGGGUUCGAUUCCGGAGAGGGAGCCUGAGAAACGGCUGCUACACCUACGGGGGGCAGCAGGCGCGCAAAUUACCCACUCCCGGCACGGGGAGGUAGUGACGAAAAAUAACGGCUCCGGACUCACUGAGUUCGGCGACCGCAAUGAGAACAGUGUAAAUACUUUAUCGAGUAUCAAAUAGAGGGCAAGUCUGGUGCCAGCAGCCGCGGUAAUUCCAGCUCUAUUAGCGUAUAUUAAAGUUGUUGCGUUUAAAAAGCUCGUAGUUGGAUUUCAGACUGGCUUUCGACGACGUUCAGCUUAGCUGUGUCGUCGAGCCAAUUUAACGGCCGCGCUCGGCCGCGAUGCCUUUUAUCGGGUGUCACGGCCGGCCGGCGAAUUUACUUUGAAGAAAAUAGAGUGCUCAAAGCAGGCGUUCGCCCGAAUGGUGUUGCAUGGAAUAAUGGAACAGGACGUCGAUCCGUUUUGUUGGUUCUUCUCACGGUUACGACGUAAUGAUUAAGAGGAACGGACGGGGGCAUUCGUAUUGCGCCGUUAGAGGUGAAAUUCUUGGAUCGGCGCAGGACGGACUACUGCGAAGGCAUUUGUCAAGAAUGUUUUCAUUAGUCAAGAACGAAAGUCAGAGGAUCGAAGGCGAUCAGAUACCGCCCUAGUUUUGACCGUAAACGAUGCCAACUGGCGAUCUGCCGUGCCGUCUUGUCUGACGCGGCGGGCAGCCACCGGGAAACCUUAAGUUUUUAGGUUCCGGGGAUAGUAUGGUUGCAAAACUGAAACUUAAAGGAAUUGACGGAAGGGCACCACCAGGAGUGGAGCCUGCGGCUUAAUUUGACUCAACACGGGAAAGCUUACCCGGGCCGGACACCGUAAGGAUUGACAGACCGAUAGCUCUUUCUCGAUUCGUGUGUAUGGUGGUGCAUUGCCGUUCUUAGUCGGUGGAGCGAUUUGUACUGGUUAAUUCCGAUAAACGGACCGAGACUCUAGCCUGCUAAAUAGAGCGUCGCAUGCGCCUUUGCGCGGGUGCGUCAGCUUCU